AUAGUAUUGAAACAAUAUGAAUUCAUAAACUUAUAUAUGGUCAUUUUAUCUUCGGUUGUCUUGAUCUAUUCGUCAGUAAUGUCCUGUUUAUACAAUGAGUCAAAAUUCAUUUUAGUUUAUUUGUUUGUGUGGCGAUGUGCCAAGGCCAAUGCGAUGACAGGACCACAUCAGCAAUUUGCUGCUCAUUUUUAAAUCGUGUUUAAAAAAUGACAAUGUUUUUUAUUGAUGAGUUUAUAGUGUUCAUUCUAUAUGUAUGCAAGUCUUUAAUAAUAAUCAGGCUUAAUAUAAAGAUUCCAUAGUGUCCCAGUGUGGAUUGUUGACUUUGUGUACUUGUGUGCACAUAUUAUGCGCGAAUCAAAUCGAAACCUUGACAUCCCCCCCCCCCCGGGCAUACCCCCGGGAAUUUGGAUUUUGACGUUUUGGUCAGGUCAAAUUCCCUACAUAUAUUUGUAAUUCCCGUUCAAAUACACCACGUAUUGGG